UUCGUAGGGUGCAAGCGUUGUCCGGAAUUAUUGGGCGUAAAGAGCUUGUAGGCGGUUUGUCGCGUCUGCUGUGAAAUUUCGGGGCUCAACCCCGAACUUGCAGUGGGUACGGGCAGACUAGAGUGUGGUAGGGGAGACUGGAAUUCCUUGUGUAGCGGUGAAAUGCGCAGAUAUCAGGAGGAACACCGAUGGCGAAGGCAGGUCUCUGGGCCAUAACUGACGCUGAGAAGCGAAAGCAUGGGGAGCGAACAGG
rnacentral:rRNA from 1 species